ACCUUAAUAGUUUAAUGGAUAAAAUAUAAGAUUCCGAUUCUUAAGAUAUAGGUUCGAUUCCUAUUUAGGGUGCCA
rnacentral:tRNA from 1 species